UACGGGGGGGGCAAGCGUUGUUCGGAAUUACUGGGCGUAAAGGGCUCGUAGGCGGCCAACUAAGUCGGACGUGAAAUCCCUCGGCUUAACCGGGGAACUGCGCCCGAUACUGGAUGGCUUGAGUUCGGGAGAGGGAUGCGGAAUUCCAGGUGUAGCGGUGAAAUGCGUAGAUAUCUGGAGGAACACCGGUGGCGAAGGCGGCAUCCUGGACCGACACUGACGCUGAGGAGCGAAAGCCAGGGGAGCAAACGGG
rnacentral:rRNA from 1 species